GAGUUUGAUCAUGGCUCAGAUUGAACGCUGGCGGCAUGCCUUACACAUGCAAGUCGAACGGCAGCAUGAUCUAGCUUGCUAGAUUGAUGGCGAGUGGCGAACGGGUGAGUAAUACAUCGGAACGUGCCCUGUAGUGGGGAGUAACUAGUCGAAGAUUAGCUAAUACCGCAUACGACCUGAGGGUGAAAGUGGGGGACCGCAAGGCCUCAUGCUAUAGGAGCGGCCGGAUGUCUGAUUAGCUAGUUGGUGGGGUAAAGGCCCACCAAGGCGACGAUCAGUAGCUGGUCUGAGAGGACGAUCAGCCACACUGGGACUGAGACACGGCCCAGACGUCCUACGGGAGGCAGCAGUGGGGAAUUUUGGACAAUGGGCGAAAGCCUGAUCCAGCAAUGCCGCGUGUGUGAAGAAGGCCUGGUUGUAAGCACUUUGU
rnacentral:rRNA from 1 species